GUCAUAUUUUGUCAAGAACAGAUGAACUUGAACCCAGAGAGGCUUGGAUUCCACUGUAACCUCAGAAACCACAAAUAUGGAAGAAAUUUGGAAAAGCACUGCGCUAAGCAUUGGGAAUACAGAGACACAAGCCCGUCCAUGAUCUCCAGACUUGAGCUCACAUUCAAAUUUGGGGUUUUGCUUUUUGGGUAGAAGUACAGGACUUCCCCCAUCCAUGCAGGGUCCUAUGGGAUCUUCUCAUCCAACAUCCUUCUGCCAGACUUUGGGAUCCACAGAG